AUUGAACGCUGGCGGCAUGCCUUACACAUGCAAGUCGAACGGCAGCGGACCUUCGGGUGCCGGCGAGUGGCGAACGGGUGAGUAAUGUAUCGGAACGUACCUUUCAGUGGGGGAUAACGUAGCGAAAGUUACGCUAAUACCGCAUAUUCUGUGAGCAGGAAAGCAGGGGAUCGCAAGACCUUGCGCUGAUUGAGCGGCCGAUAUCAGAUUAGCUAGUUGGUGAGGUAAAGGCUCACCAAGGCGACGAUCUGUAGCGGGUCUGAGAGGAUGAUCCGCCACACUGGAACUGAGACACGGUCCAGACUCCUACGGGAGGCAGCAGUGGGGAAUUUUGGACAAUGGGGGCAACCCUGAUCCAGCCAUGCCGCGUGAGUGAAGAAGGCCUUCGGGUUGUAAAGCUCUUUCGUCCGGGAAGAAAUCGCAUCAGCUAAUACCUGGUGUGGAUGACGGUACCGGAAUAAGAAGCACCGGCUAACUACGUGCCAGCCGCCGCCGUAACAC
rnacentral:rRNA from 1 species